ACUAUGUUCCUUUUGGGCUGCUGC
rnacentral:siRNA from 1 species